GCGGUCGUGGUCUAGUGGUUAUGACGUCUGCUUAACACGCAGAAGAUCGCGAGUUCAAUUCUCGCCGACCGUU
rnacentral:tRNA from 1 species